rnacentral:rRNA from 1 species
AAUGAACGUUGGCGGCGUGGAUUAGGCAUGCAAGUCGAGCGAGAAGAGUUUGGUAGCUUGCUAUUGAACUCGGAAAGCGGCGAAAGGGAGAGUAACGCGUAGUUACGUGCCCCAGGGUUCGGAAUAGCCACGGGAAACUGUGGGUAAUGCCGAAUAACAUCUCCGGAUCAAAGGUGUGAUUCCGCCCGGGGAGCGGACUGCGUCCUACUAGCUAGUUGGCGGGGUAAUGGCCCGACAAGGCAACAAUGGGUAGCGGGUGUGAGAGCAUGACCCGUCUCACUGGGACUGAGACACUGCCCAGACACCUACGGGUGGCUGCAGUCGAGAAUCUUCGGCAAUGGGCGAAAGCCUGACCGAGCGACGCCGCGUGCGGGAUGAAGGCCCUCGGGUUGUAAACCGCUGUCGUAGGGGAGGAAGGCUCCAUGAAGAAUGGGGUUUGACCUAUCCUAGGAGGAAGUACGGGCUAAGUUCGUGCCAGCCGCCGCAGUAA